rnacentral:rRNA from 1 species
AUUGAACGCUGGCGGCAGGCUUAACACAUGCAAGUCGAGCGGAGAUGAGGUGCUUGCACCUUAUCUUAGCGGCGGACGGGUGAGUAAUGCUUAGGAAUCUGCCUAUUAGUGGGGGACAACAUUCCGAAAGGAAUGCUAAUACCGCAUACGCCCUACGGGGGAAAGCAGGGGAUCUUCGGACCUUGCGCUAAUAGAUGAGCCUAAGUCGGAUUAGCUAGUUGGUGGGGUAAAGGCCUACCAAGGCGACGAUCUGUAGCGGGUCUGAGAGGAUGAUCCGCCACACGGGGAAUGAGACACGGCCCAGACUCCUACGGGAGGCAGCAGUGGGGAAGAUUGGACAAUGGGCGGAAGCCUGAUCCAGCCAUGCCGCGUGUGUGAAGAAGGCCUUUUGGUUGUAAAGCACUUUAAGCGAGGAGGAGGCUACCUGGAUUAAUACUCUAGGAUAGUGGACGUUACUCGCAGAAUAAGCACCGGCUAACUCUGUGCCAGCAGCCGCAGUAAAAC